rnacentral:rRNA from 2 species
GGACUACACGGGUAUCUAAUCCUGUUUGCUCCCCACGCUUUCGUGCCUGAAUGUCGGUGCUGGACCAGGAAGCCGCUUUCGCCACUGGCGUUCCUUCCGAUAUCUACGCAUUUCACCGCUACACCGGAAAUUCCGCUUCCCUCUUCCGCACCCUAGCCAUGCAGUCUCGAAUGCAAUUCCCAGGUUGAGCCCGGGGCUUUCACACCCGACUUACAUGACCAUCUGCGCACGCUUUACGCCCAGUAAUUCCGAUUAACGCUCGCACCCUCUGUAUUACCGCGGCGGCUGGCAC